GGUAGUGGGGGACAACGUCUCGAAAGGGACGCUAAUACCGCAUACGUCCUACGGGAGAAAGCAGGGGACCUUCGGGCCUUGCGCUAUCAGAUGAGCCUAGGUCGGAUUAGCUAGUUGGUGAGGUAAUGGCUCACCAAGGCGACGAUCCGUAACUGGUCUGAGAGGAUGAUCAGUCACACUGGAACUGAGACACGGUCCAGACUCCUACGGGAGGCAGCAGUGGGGAAUAUUGGACAAUGGGCGAAAGCCUGAUCCAGCCAUGCCGCGUGUGUGAAGAAGGUCUUCGGAUUGUAAAGCACUUUAAGUUGGGAGGAAGGGCAGUAACUUAAUACGUUGCUGUUUUGACGUUACCGACAGAAUAAGCACCGGCUAACUCUGUGCCAGCAGCCGCGGUAAUACAGAGGGUGCAAGCGUUAAUCGGAAUUACUGGGCGUAAAGCGCGCGUAGGUGGUUUGUUAAGUUGGAUGUGAAAGCCCCGGGCUCAACCUGGGAACUGCAUUCAAAACUGACAAGCUAGAGUAUGGUAGAGGGUGGUGGAAUUUCCUGUGUAGCGGUGAAAUGCGUAGAUAUAGGAAGGAACACCAGUGGCGAAGGCGACCACCUGGACUGAUACUGACACUG
rnacentral:rRNA from 1 species